AUUGAACGCUGGCGGCAUGCCUUACACAUGCAAGUCGAACGGCAGCACGGGUGCUUGCACCUGGUGGCGAGUGGCGAACGGGUGAGUAAUGUAUCGGAACGUACCAUUCAGUGGGGGAUAACGUAGCGAAAGUUACGCUAAUACCGCAUAUUCUCUGAGGAGGAAGGUAGGGGAUCGCAAGACCUUGCGCUGAUUGAGCGGCCGAUAUCGGAUUAGCUAGUUGGGGAGGUAAAGGCUCACCAAGGCGACGAUCCGGAGCCGGUCUGAGAGGAUGAUCAGCAGCACUGAAACUGAGACACGGUCCAGACUCCUACGGGAGGCAGCAGUGGGGAAGUUUGGACAAUGGGGGCAACCCUGAUCCAGCCAUGCCGCGUGAGUGAAGAAGGCCUUCGGGUUGUAAAGCUCUUUCGCGAGGGAAGAAAGCGCAACGGUUAAUACCCGUUGUGGAUGACGGUACCUUGAUAAGAAGCACCGGCUAACUACGUGCCAGCCGCCGCGGUAA
rnacentral:rRNA from 1 species